UGAGGGAAUAUUUGGGGUCAAUGGGCGGAAGCCUGAACCAGCCAUGCCGCGUGCGGGAAGGAGGCCCUAUGGGCUGUGAACCGCUUUUGCCUGGGGGCAAUAAGGGCGUCGCGCACGUCCGAUGAGAGUACCAGGCGAAUAAGCAUCGGCUAACUCCGUGCCAGCAGCCGCGGUAAUACGGGGGAUGCGAGCGUUAUCCGGAUUCAUUGGGUUUAAAGGGUGCGUAGGCUGUGCGUCAAGUCGGGGGUGAAAUUCCGGUGCUCAACACCGGGGCUGCCCUUGAUACUGUCGCGCUGGAGUGCGGAUGCCGCCGGAGGAAUGAGUGGUGUAGCGGUGAAAUGCUUAGAUAUCACUCAGAACACCGAUU
rnacentral:rRNA from 1 species